CUCUAGCAUUCUCUAAUCCUUAUUCCUCAACAGCACCACACCUAUAAAGAUUGGAAAGAGAAGAGGUUCAACAACCACCAUGGCAAUCAGAUAUUUUCAUCCAAACUCUAUCCUUCCAAGAGACCAGACAAGAAAGACCAUGGUGAGAGCUUCCCUGAUCUACAACAGCCAAAUAUCACCCAAAACAUCAGUUUCUUUAAGCAAUUUCUUCAGGAUCAACAACAAGGUCUACGAAGAUCAAGUGAGGGGUAUAAUAUGCUACAGAGAUGAAAGAGGAGAAAUAAUUUGUGAGGGAUAUGAUGAAGGAUCAAGACAUAGUCACCAUUUAUAUUCAGAAAAUGGAAAAAGAAUUUGUGAGGGAUACAAUGAAAGACCAAGAUAUCAUCUUCGCUCACCAGCACAGGUAGAAGAAACUGUUUGUGAGGCAUAUGAUGACCAGGUGAAGGGUAUAAUCUGCUGCAGAGAUAAAACAGGAGAGAUUAUCUGUGAGGGAAUUGAUGAAGGACCAAGAUACAGUUACCGGUCAUCAUCACAAAACACAUAUGAAGCUAGGUACAGAAGAAAGCACAUCAGUUCUAGCAUAAAUUCCAAUCACAUGUCGCAUUGAGAGGUAAGACUAAGGAUAUACAAGCUUUCAUACAGAUGUCAAGGUACUUGUUGGUACUAUCUGCAAGUUAUUCAGGUUUCUAAACAUGAAUUCUAAUGUGUUCAGAAUGAGUAAAUGAUAAAGUUGAAUGUUGCCAGCAUCAAAUUCUGUUUGUGGGAGUUUAUAUCUAAUAAAUUUACAUUUAACAA